CGUGCAGGCGGGAAGGUAAGUCUGAUGUGAAAGCCCCGGGCUCAACCUGGGAAGUGCAUUGGAAACUGCUUUUCUUGAGUACUGGAGAGGAAGGGGGAAUUCCCGGUGUAGAGGUGAAAUUCGUAGAGAUCGGGAGGAAUACCAGUGGCGAAGGCGCCCUUCUGGACGGUUACUGACGCUGAGACGCGAAAGCGUGGGGAGCAAACA
rnacentral:rRNA from 1 species